AUUGAACGCUGGCGGCAGGCCUAACACAUGCCAGUCGAGCGGAUGAAGGGAGCUUGCUCCUGGAUUCAGCGGCGGACGGGUGAGUAAUGCCUAGGAAUCUGCCUGGUAGUGGGGGAUAACGUCCGGAAACGGGCGCUAAUACCGCAUACGUCCUGAGGGAGAAAGUGGGGGAUCUUCGGACCUCACGCUAUCAGAUGAGCCUAGGUCGGAUUAGCUAGUUGGUGGGGUAAAGGCCUACCAAGGCGACGAUCCGUAACUGGUCUGAGAGGAUGAUCAGUCACACUGGAACUGAGACACGGUCCAGACUCCUACGGGAGGCAGCAGUGGGGAAAAUUGGACAAUGGGCGAAAGCCUGAUCCAGCCAUGCCGCGUGUGUGAAGAAGGUCUUCGGAUUGUAAAGCACUUUAAGUUGGGAGGAAGGGCAGUAAGUUAAUACCUUGCUGUUUUGACGUUACCAACAGAAUAAGCACCGGCUAACUUCGUG
rnacentral:rRNA from 1 species